rnacentral:rRNA from 1 species
AACGCUGGCGGCAGGCCUAACACAUGCAAGUCGAGCGGUAACAGAUCCAGCUUGCUGGAUGCUGACGAGCGGCGGACGGGUGAGUAAUGCAUAGGAAUCUGCCCGAUAGUGGGGGAUAACCUGGGGAAACCCAGGCUAAUACCGCAUACGUCCUACGGGAGAAAGGGGGCUCCGGCUCCCGCUAUGGGAUGAGCCUAUGUCGGAUUAGCUAGUUGGUGAGGUAACGGCUCACCAAGGCCACGAUCCGUAGCUGGUCUGAGAGGAUGAUCAGCCACAUCGGGACUGAGACACGGCCCGAACUCCUACGGGAGGCAGCAGUGGGGAAUAUUGGACAAUGGGGGAAACCCUGAUCCAGCCAUGCCGCGUGUGUGAAGAAGGCCCUCGGGUUGUAAAGCACUUUCAGCGAGGAAGAACGCCUAGCGGUUAAUACCCGCUAGGAAAGACAUCACUCGCAGAAGAAGCACCGGCUAACUCCGUGCCAGCAGCCGCGGUAAUACGGAGGGUGCAAGCGUUAAUCGGAAUUACUGGGCGUAAAGCGCGCGUANGUGGCUUGAUAAGCCGGUUGUGAAAGCCCCGGGCUCAACCUGGGAACGGCAUCCGGAACUGUCAAGCU